CGGGAGACACCACGCCCCUCCACGGAGGGAAGGGAACCUAGCGUGUCGAGUGCUUACUCUGUGUGGCAUUGUGCUAGGUGUUGUUUAAAAUUAGCACAUUGAAUCUCAACAAGGUGUGAGACACAUAGCCUGAUUUCUCAUUUUAUGGUGGAAGAAACUGAGGUUCAGCCAUCUAUUUAUUUCCUUGACUCACACAGCUGGAAUUCUGAACAAAAACUCAAACCUACAUCCAGCAUGAAGGUCUCACUCGCCGUCCAGAAGACUCCUGGCAGGAGAAAGGCUUCCAGGAUCCAGUGUGGGUGUUUUUUCCAUUGCUAAUCACCGUGACCUGCCAGAAAUGCAGAGGCAACAGGAGGCAGGCACUGCUCAAGAGGCUGGAGAUGGAGCGGUGUAGCACAGGUCUGCAGGAAUUCGCUGGCUCUUCAGAGCAGGGCCCUAACCGUGGCUUCGGUAGUGCUGGCUGCUGGUUCCAAGCUAACAGAACAGCCACUCUUGGACCAUUGCUGUGGCAGAAGGAGAGAAAGAGCAUGAAGGAUCAUACACCAGCCCUUAAAGCUUCCAUGCCAAAGCAGCAUACUUCACCUCGACUCACAGUUCAUCAGCCAAAGCAAGUCACUGGGCUUCCCUGAUUCCAACGUAGCAAGGAAAUACAACCCUACCAUGUGCCCAGAAGAAGAACCAGAAAUACAGACGAACAGUCCUGGAACAGCAGCAGCGACUCAGUCAUCAUCUGAGACCUUCCCAGCCACGCUGUGAAAAAGAGCCAGCCUCCCCACCACCUCCCGCUUCCUAUCCCACUUACUGGCUUCAUUUCUCUCUUCAGGACCUUUCACUAUCUGCACACUCUAUACGUCGCUUGUUUAUCUUGUUUACGUCAUUCUCCAUUAGAAUGUAGACUCGAAGGGCAAAGAGAUUUUCCCUGUUUGAUUCAGUACUGUGUUCCCAGUGCCUAGAAUUGUCACUGCUACAUAGAGGCUUUAGACAAAAAUGUGCUGAACAGACGAGCGAAUGACAAGAAGGAUACAAUUAGUGAUCCACGUGAGAAAUACGAUGAUCUUGGGAUUUGGCUUAACCAGGUUUGGUACCACCCGAUUCCUCGACAAAUUUGAGUAUGCAUCUACUGUAUGCAAGGCUGUAUGCAUCAAGGAGAACAUCCCCAUCCUUGAACAUACCAGAUACAGGGGGAGUUAGCACCUUUCUUACUUUACACCGUUUCUGCCAAUGGAGGGCAAGGAGCUUCUUGACUUUUGUGGAAACAAGAGUAACAAUCGUCUUGUUUUCAGCUAAGAUCUGGCUGCAAUCAAGCUUUCUUGUCCAGAAAUACUAGCAAGUCUCAUAGGUGACAAGCACGCUGCCUAAUUUCUCCUGCCUGCUCCAUUUGCAUUUCAUCACAUGUGCAGACCCUCCGUAAACAAAACUCGCAGCAUCUUAUUCUGAAAAGUUGUCAUCAGCCUCUGUGCAUCAUGGUCUUCCUAAAUGAAACAAAUAAGGCAUUUCUCAUUUGUAAUUAAAUAAUUCCUUAGAAGGCUCUGCCUUCUACCAAAGAUUCACGGGGAAUCCAUUUUCACACAGCGAUAAUUAUACUCAGCACUGAGGGUAGACACUGUGGUGUGGGCUGUGGAUAUUUAUCAGCUCAUCAGAAGCAAAUCAUAAAGGAACUUAGUACGGAAGCUAAAAACAGAUCUUAGUUAGUAGGAAACGAAGUUAAGAUGUUAAUGCUGAAUCCCAGGCUAGAUUGCUUCCCCACUUAGGGAUAUUAUUGCUGAGUCAAUUAUUUCCACCAAGAUUUUUUUUUUGCAAGGACCACAUCCAGUUGUGUAAAAUAUUUGAGGGAGCAGUAAGUACAUUUGCGUAUGAUAUGCACAUCAUUUGUAUAGGAUCACAUACCAUCUUCAGGAAAAUUCUAAGUGAAAAUGAAACUAGUUAUAUUUUCUCUUAUUAUGCAUUCCUUAGCGUCUGUGCCCCAGUCUUCCAGGUUCCCCACUGCCUACAGGAGAAAAUGCAGUGUCCUCUGCCUGGUGCCCAGUCCACCUGUCCUACCAUCCCUUUCCUGUUCCCUACGUCCUCUUAUGCACCAGUCACACACAAUCACACACUGUUUUCCACCACGCUGUGAGAGGUCACUCAGUUGACUGUCCACGAGCCACUUUCUCACUUUCUUCUUUGCUAGCCGAACCAUAACCGUCUCCCUUCUGGCGUUUGUGCUCUGUAUGCUCAGGGGCCUCACCGAGCUCCAGGGCGUGGGCUUUGACUCGUCCACAGCCAGCCUGGCGGAUCCACGCCCCUGGGAAGUGACUGGUUUCGGCACGGUCAUGUGCUGCAGUCCUGGCCAAUGAGAAGUAAAGGGAAGCUGUUAGGAGAUUUCUUGGAAAGUUUCCUGAGUCUUAAAAGAGGACACAGAAAAGACAGAGACUCACCUCUUUUCUGCUUCUGGACGGGGCUACGGAAGGAGGCGAUGCCUGGGAGAGCUUCAACAAUAUGACCAUGAGAGUGGAGGGUGCUCAUGAGACAGCAGAGCAGAAAGAUGGAAGGAACCUGGGAUGUGGAAGAGGUCAUCGUGUCCCGGCUUAAGCAAUCAUAAGAACAACUUUACGACUUCAGUGCCAGGCACUGUCAUGAGCGUUUUAUGUACAUUAACUUAUUCGGUCCUCACAACUGUCAUAUGCAGUGGAUGUUCUUGUUAUUUCCAUUUUACGGUUGAGCAAACUGAAGCAGAGAGGGUUGAAGUGUCAAAGUCACUCUCCUUCUUUGUUUUUUCAGCGUUUUAUUAUAGAAAACUUAAAGGAUAUACUAAAGUAGAGAGUAGCAUAAUGAAUCCCACGCACACAUCAGUCACCCAGUUUAAAUAAUUAUCCAGGGGCCAGCAGGGUGGCCCAGGCAAUGAGUUUGUGUGCUCCAUUUCUGUGGCCCAGUGUUUCACCGGUUCGAAUCCUGGGCGUGGACCUAGCACCGCUCAUCAGGCCAUGCUGAGGCGGCAUCCCACAUGCCACAACUAGAAGGACCCACAACUAAAAGAUACAACUAUGUACUGGGGGGUUUGGGGGAGAAGGAAAAAUUAAAAAUUAAAAAACCUUUAAAAAAAAUUACCCAUCAGGGCCAGUCUCGACUCACUCAUGCCCCUGCCCCUUCUUCCUCUGCCCCAGGUUAUUUUGAAGCAAAUCCCAGACCUCACAUUGUUUCAUUCUGGAUCACUCCAUGCGUGACAAAAACCGAAAACUACUUUUAUCUGGGUCUUCUGUUACAACUAAAACGAGUCUCUAAAUAUUAAUAACUUUCUCCUCAUAAAAAUCUGAAAAUGUAUAUAAGCUGAAGGCAAAAUAUAAAAAUCACCCACCAUGUGACCACCUGGCAAUAACGGCUAAUAAUAACUUGGUGUUCUUCCUCUAAGUAUUUUGCAGACUUUUGUUUUGAAUACGAGAUUGCUUUUUUCCACUUAUUUUGGCCUGAAUGUUUCCCAUCCUCGUUCCAGUCCCAUGGUCUCUGGGUGCUGGGCCCCCUCUGUCCUUUUUUCUUCCAGGAACCUGACCAAGUGCUUGCUGACCUCCACCAUUGGACGUCAGUGACAUGCGGCAACUGUCUGUUCAUCCAUGUUUCUGACCGGACCAGCGCACAAUGAGGGCAGGGACUCUUUCUGAGUUGGCUUUUUUUUUUAAUCUCUGGUGUCUAUAUUGUUAUAAGAAACAACCUGACAAGACUCAAUAUUGCUGGGAUGGUGUUGACCACGGGGUGGCCUGCAUCAUGCGUGUCCCCUUUGCAAGAAUCCAGCGAGGAAACUUUCCUCUCAAAAGCUGUGUUGCUCCUGAAAAACAGGUGUGUUCUUUAGUGGACACUGCGAACGCUUGUUGUAUCAGUGUGUGUGUCCAUUUUCGCUUUGGUCACUGGAGAGCUCAGAGCCGAAGUCGUGCUUCUAACUCUGGGAAGGAUUUUCAAUUUUCAAGGCAUGAACUCUCCCACUAGUCUCACUUCGUUUUCCCUUCACCAUGAAUUCUUUAUAUUUGGAAUAAUGAUGUGGCAUCGUGACAGGACCACUUUCGACAUGUUAAUUCAUGAGCUUUCUUCUCUUUUUCCUUCCAUGAACGUAGCUUGCAGGUUCUGUGCCUUUUUGCUUCCAGGUGGUAACAUUAUGGUUGACUUCCCUUUCUGGAUUUGUUUAGAAAAGUCUGAAGUCUUUAAGGAGGUUGACCCAUGUGUCCUGCAUGAAGAGAAAGCGCUUCUGAGGAAAUGUGGAAAGGGGGGCGUUUCUCCCAGAUUGACUCAGAGAUUCCCAGUCUCCUUGGUUCUCUGGGUUUAGAGAGCAGACGGAAGCAGGACCCCAGGUGGGAGCAGUGGCCAACCUGCGUGCCCAGCAGUAACAGGCUUGGGUUAGAAUUGUUUGAUUUAUAGCAAACGAAGAAAUAGAAUAUUUCCUGCAUGACUGAAUUUGUGGACUGGGAUUCAUAAUCAGUGCAGAACCUAAUGAAUUCGUGAAAGUCAUCCCCAAUCCUUUAUGGAACGAGCCAGUGAGCAGACAGACACUAGAGAAGAAAACCGCCAUCAUUGUGGAAAGACUUGAGCUCUGGAGGCAGACCUGUCAUUACGGUACUUCAGGC
ensembl:lncRNA